AAGAAAGUGUCAGAGUGGCCAUGAGGUUGGCUUGAAACCAGUUUAUGGGGGUUCGAUUCCUCCCUUUCUCG
rnacentral:tRNA from 1 species